CCAAUAGCGUAUAUUAAAGUUGUUGCAGUUAAAAAGCUCGUAGUUGAAUUUCGGGAUCAAAGAAUCGGUCAUGCCUUGGUAUGUACUGGUUUUAUUGGUUCUCACCUUCUAAAGAACCAUAAUGUCAUUUAUUUGAUGUUAUGGGGAAUUAGGACUGUUACCUUGAAAAAAUUAGAGUGUUUAAAGCAGGCGCACGCUUGAAUACAUUAGCAUGGAAUAAUGAAAUAGGACGUUUGAUUCUAUUUUGUUGGUUUCUAGGAUCGACGUAAUGAUUAAUAGGGAUAGUUGGGGGCAUUAGUAUUCAAUUGUCAGAGGUGAAAUUCUUGGAUUUAUUGAAGACUAACUACUGCGAAAGCAUUUGCCAAGGAUGUUUUCAUUAAUCAAGAACGAAAGUUAGGGGAUCGAAGACGAUCAGAUACCGUCGUAGUCUUAACCAUAAACUAUGCCGACUAGGGAUCGGAUGAUGUUAAUUUUAUAAUGACUCAUUCGGCGCCUUACG
rnacentral:rRNA from 1 species